ACAACCCGCUCCUUUCAUUCACAUACUAGGGUUUCCAAGAUUCAGCAUCUUCUCCAAGCUUCCUCUCUCAAUCUCAAACGCCUGAUAAGGUAAAUCAAACAUGAACUGAUCUACCGGUCUGAACUCUAGAACCAGUAAUCUCCAGAAGCUUCCAUAAACCCUAUAUUUCUUCAAACCCUACCAAAACCCUUUCCGCCAUCACUCUCUUAGAUCUCACCGCACAAACAUGCACCGGCUCUCUAGGCGUUCUGUCAACACUCUUUUCCGCUACGGCGCCCAUCGCCGCCGUGAUGCCGUCUCUGCGGCAGCGGCUUCUGCCGGUUCUCCCAAUUUCAAUGAAUCGGGUGCAGAGAGGGAUGCUAGUGGUAGGUGGUAUUCAGUUUUAACUACUGCGUCAUCCACUGGGCCUGUUUCCACAAAUUCUUUGAAAUUAGGAAACAUGAUUCCUUCUGGGAAGUGGUUUGAGUCGACGGCUUCAGACGUUCAGACACCUGAAGCACCUGUGGAGAAGUAUGAGUAUCAGGCAGAGGUAAGUCGGCUUAUGGACCUUAUUGUUAACAGUCUAUAUAGCAACAAAGAGGCGUUCCUUCGUGAACUUAUCAGGCAAGUUUCUAAAUUUUUAAACAAAUUUGCAAUGUAGUCGGUUUUUGUUUUAACUCUUUAUCUUCUAUACAAUCUAAUAAAAGUCUUAAUUAGGGGACACAUGUCCCCCUCCUAGGGCCUCUAAAACUCAUUUUCCCGCCAAAAUAUGCAUUCUCCUCAUUUCCCUUGAAUUAACCCGACACGGAAUCCGAAUCACUCAUUUGGGCCCGAUAAGUUCAUUCCAUAUAUAAAGAACAACCCGCUCCUUUCAUUCACAUACUAGGGUUUCCAAGAUUCAGCGUCUUCUCCAAGCUUCCUCUUUCAAUCUCAAACGUCUGAUAAGGUUCAAAAUAUUGCUUGAGUACAGGUAUGAGGAUAAGGCCGCUAAAAAGUAACACCUUUUGAAAAAAGCCCAGGCCAAGUCUGAAGGAAAAAACGGUUGAAGCAAAGAAGCCUAUUGUUUUGAAAGAUGGUCUCAAUCAGGUCAACUAUCUUAUUGAGCCAGCGAUAUGUUUGUAUUCACUAUGUUGGUCAGCAUACUUUCAAGAUCAAUAUAAUUAUACUAUACUAUUACUAUACUAUAUUAAUGGGAGAUAGGAAUGAACAGUGAUAUCACUACGUGUCUGAUUGUUGGGCGGUUGGUGGCUAGGAGGAAUGUUGUGAUUGGGCCGCGUCGUGUAAAGGCAGCCACAUGUUUAUAAAUCUUCCCACCUCCUAUCAGUUUCUUUCCAUUUGUAAACCCUUGCACACAUCCGGAAAGAGAGAGAUUGAGAUACAAUUGGCUACGUAGACAUACGUUGAGUGAUAGAGAGAGAUGAGAGUGACUAGACCGGUCAUGAUGGUUCUGUAGCGGGAACUGUCAGCCAUUUAGGGCUAAUUUCAAUAGCAUUGACAAGGGUUUGCUGUGUCUGAUUCAAUCAAGAACGGAGGUUUUUCAUCUUUUUACAAUGGUGGCGGCUAUGGUUUUCACACGCUUUCUUCUGAGUUGUAACUCUACGAGAAGAAAAAAAGCAGAGAGAAAAAAUCAAAAUGCAAACCAUGCGACGUCAGACUCUAAUAUACUUGACAAGAUUGAUCAUUCGUGACACACAACUAUUUUGUUCAUUUCUUUUGCAAUUAAGUUUGAAAUAUUGAUUUUGUUUCUUCUAGGUGUUUCUAGACGUAUGGGUCUGAACUUACUGCUGCGGAUGUGUCAAUUGUUGUUGCUGAUAUCAUAUUUUCUAUACUGGAAGAGGCUUCUCUAUCUGAACAUGGAAGCAGCAUUGCACCAAAGACCUGCGACAAUCUACAAAAUCCAGAAACUUAUCCAAAAGGACAAAAUGCUAGAAACCAAGCUCUGUUGGAGUUUUUUACAACCAAACCCUGUUGGAGACACGUCUUUAAAUACCAGACACAGGAAGAAUUUGACCAAUUGUUCUUACAUCAACGUCGCAUUAGGCAUGAAUCAACUGUUGGUGUUGGCCUCCCUGUUAUAGCAUCAUUAAACCAUAUUAUUUCAUCCGGAGAUGAAGUUACUCAAAUAGUUGUGGACUUGAGUGGUAGUAGCAUUGUUGAAGUUGUUGGAGGAAGUUGGUGAAGCAAAUAAAUGGAGCUAUUGUGGAUCGAGUAACGGGUCAAAAUUGACAAGCAUUCAAAGGCUCUUGCAUCAAUCAUCUAGAUGUUAACUUUAUUGAAAUAGACUAGGUUAAUGCCCGCGCGAUGCGCGGCUUCAUCCAAAACCAUAUUAUUUACUUUGAAAUAUAAUAUUUUGUACAAACGCAUAAAAACCUAUUAAAAUCCAUAUAUAAUCUCAUAUUCUAUAACACGUCUGUAAAGUUUAGUAAUA